AGAGGCUUAGGAUAAAUAAACCAAAAGCCUUCAAAGCUUUAAACGGGGGUGAAAGACCCCCAGCCCCUG
rnacentral:tRNA from 1 species